UGGGUUUAAGUGGGAUUCACUAUCCCAUCCCACUUAAACCGCUCCAGCGGGAGCCCACUGGACAAGUAAAAAUUAACUGGGCUAGCCCUAUUAGCCCAGUGGAAUCCCACCUUAACCCGAUAGGUUAGUUCUCUCGCUGGAUAGAGGAGGCGCUGCAGCGCAGGCGCACUGCUGCCGCCACCGCUCGAUGGCCGCCGCCGCCGCAUCAUCUUCUCUUCCGCCUCGCACUCAGCACCUCUCGGCCUCCCCUCCCUCGCAGCUUCUUGCCGUCCCAAUCAAGACUCGCCAAACCCCUCGAGCACGGUUGAAUGCGAUGGUCAGGUCGCCGGCGGCCCCAACCCCAACCCCCAGGUCGCCGGCGGCCCCAAACCCGAACUCCAGCUCGCCGGCGGCCCCAAACCCGACCCCCAGGUCGCAGGCUGCCCCAACCCCGACUCCCAGCUCGCCUGCUGCAGGAGCACAAGGUUACUAAUGAGCUCUUGCGUGCCAUAAAAAAUGAGAAGGCUAAUGACCCGGAUCUUGAAGAGCACAAGGGUGCUGGUGAGCUCCUUACGGAACCACCAAAGUGCAAGAAAAGGAAGCGAAGUAGGCAGAGUAGCGGCAAGCUUCAUGGGGAACACCAAGAAACGAACAAAGUCGUCAUGAAACCGUCGACGUCCAAGAAAAAGAGGAAGGCAAGUGAAGGAAUGUGCACUAAUACACCGGCACCGUUGUUUGGACCUUUGGCCGUUGACAUGGACAAGCAGCCACCACCAUUGAAGAAAAAAAGGCUUAAUAAGAGAGAUGUUGCAACUAUACCAUCAUCCGGAUCUUUGUCCAUUGACAAGGAUAGGCAGCCAUCACCUGGAUCUUUGCCCGUUGACAAGGAUAAGCAGCCAUCACCUGGACCUUUGGCCGUUGACAAGGAUAAGCAGCCAUCACCUGGAUCUUUGCCCCUUGACAAUAAUACACAGCCAUCAUCUGGAUCUUUGGCCGUUGACAAGAAUAAGCAUCCAUCACUAUCCAAAAAAGUGGUAAGGUCUCCAGUCCUUAACAAUGUCGUAGUUUCAUUCUUAGCAAGAAGAGAAAAAAGGCCAAGUCACUAGAGAGCUCUCCAACGUCACAGCCUUCACUGCUAGAUCUGUCACCCAAAGUAGCAAAUAUUGGUUCACGCAGACCACGAAAAUUAAAAUCAAAAAUUUGGAAAGAGGCAAAACCAAUCUGUAUUGAUGGAAUGCUUGCACAUGGUCGUUGCAUUCAUUGCGACAAACUCUUCCCUGCCUCAAAAAAGUCAGGUACAAGUCACAUCGGUAAACAUUUGGUGGUAUGUGAAGAGAAAGCUAAAAUGGAUGGUAUGGUUGCCAAGAUACGAACUGAUAGUGCAAUCGAUCCAGAGUGGAAGUUUGACCAAGGGCGUGCACGUAGAGAACUGGCAAAGUUGAUUGUGCUACAUGAAUUACCUUUCAAUUUUGUUGAAUAUCCUGGCUUUAGGGUAUUGCAUGUUAGAUGUGCUGCACAUGUACUGAAUCUUGUGGUGCAAGAUGGGCUCGAUGCAAUGGCGUCAGUUGUUGAUAGAAUCAGAGAUUCAGUGCAGUAUGUCAGGAGUUCGCAAGGCAGAAUGGAGAAAUUCAAUGCGAUGAUUGCGUGGGUGGGACUUGCUUGUAAAAACCAUCCUUCGCCAGAUGUGCCUACCCGAUGGAAUUCAACGUACCUAAUGCUUGAAUCAUCAUUGCCGUUCAGAGCAGCGUUCGAAGCCUUGAAAGAAACUGACAAAGAUUAUCAAUUUGCUCCUUCAGCUAGUGAAUGGGAGAUGGCUGAAGCUAUUUGCCAUCUUUUGGGCGUUUUUUACACAGCCACAAAGAAAAUCUCGGGUAGGACAUAUCCCACCUCUCACCUGUACUUCUAUGAGGUAUGGAAUGUGAAGCAGAUAAUGGAGAAAGAAGUCACAAGUGAAAAUCCUACCAUUGUUGCCAUGGUGAAAGAGAUGGAGGAGAAAUGGAUGAAAUAUUUUGAGGAGUCGUUCUUAACAAGUUGUCUGCCAGUGAUAUUUGAUCCGAGGUACAAAUAUGAAUAUGUUCACUUCCGACUGACCGCAGCUUUGGGUGGUGGCGCCAGGAAAUAUCUUACCAAGGUGAAUAGUGCGAUGAAGAUCCUAUUUGUUGAAUAUGCAUCUGAAUAUGAAAACACUUCUGAUGAAGGUGAUGAGGUUGCAGAGGAGGAUGGUGAGGGCACUCUCGAUGACUGGGAUAAGCAUUUGAGAUUGAAAAGAUCCCACAACUCAAAUGAGCUACAACGAUAUCUUGAAGAAGACCUGUUUCCUCGCCGACAGAAAUUGGAUAUCUUAAAGUGAUGGGAGAUUCACUCCCCAAAGUAUCCAGUGCUUGCCGCUAUAGCAAGGGACAUAUUGGCAGUGUCUGCGUCUACAGUGCCUGCAGAGGCUGCAUUCAGCAAUGCCGAAAGGAUCAUCACUGCUCAAAGAAGUAGUUUGACCCCGAGUACAGUUGAGACGCUGAUGUGCCUCGAGGAUUGGUUUCGAGCAGCUGAUCGCCAAAAGGCGGAACCAACAGUUGGAGACCAUGGUGGUGAGCAAGACGAUGCUGGAACCACCUAAGGUACCACAUCUAUUCAUACCAUGCCUGCCGUGCGCUUCAUGUAGCUAAUAAGUUGAAUUCGUCAUCAACCUAUCCGUUGCUGGAGUUGUUCUUCAAGAAUCAGGUCCUCUGUUCAGACUCUGUGGACAUUCAUCAUCAACCUGCCAUGCGCUUCAUGCAUUCGUCAUCAUUUU